rnacentral:rRNA from 1 species
UACCGUAGGGUCCGAGCGUUUGUCCGGAAUUAUUGGGCGUAAAGGGCUCGUAGGCGGUUUGUCGCGUCGGGAGUGAAAACACCGGGCUUAACUCGGUAGCUUGCUUUCGAUACGGGCAGACUGGAGGGUAUGCAGGGGAGAACGGAAUUCCUGGUGUAGCGGUGAAAUGCGCAGAUAUCAGGAGGAACACCCGGUGGCGAAGGCGGUUCUCUGGGCAUUACCUGACGCUGAGGAGCGAAAGUGUGGGGAGCGAACAGG